rnacentral:lncRNA from 1 species
AAAACAAUAGUCUACAAAAAUACUAAAGAAUAGAGAAAAAUGGGUCAAAUACUAAAGAAUAGAGAAUGAUUGGCCAAAUAUAAAGAAUAGAGAAAAAUGGGUCAAAUACUAAAGAAUAGAGAAUGAUUGGCCAAAUAUAAAGAAUAGAGAAAAAUGGGUCAAACACUAAAGAAAAAAGAAUGAUUGGCCAAAUAUAAAGAAUAGAGAAAAAUGGGUCAAAUACUAAACAAUAGAGAAUGAUUUGUUAAAUAUAAGAAUAGAAAAAAAUGGGUCAAAUACUAAAGAAUAGAGAAUGAUUGGCCAAAUAUAAAGAAUAGAGAAAAAUAGGUCAAAUACUAAAGAACAGAGAAUUAUUGGCCAAAUAUAAAGAAUAGAGACAAAUGGGUCAAAUACUAAAGAAAAGAGAAUGAUUGGCCAAAUAUAAAGAAUAGAGAAAAAUGGGUCAAAUACUAAAAAAUAGAGAAUGAUUAGCCAAAAAAAAACAAUAGAGAAAAAGGGGUUAAAUACUAAAGAAAAGAGAAUGAUUGGCCAAAAAUAACAAUAGAGAAAAAUGGAUCAAAUACUAAAGAAUAGAGAAAUAUUUGCCAAAAACAAGAAUGGAGAAAAAUGGGUCAAAUUCUUAAGAAUAGAGAAUGAUUGGCCAAAUAUAAAGAAUAGAGAAAAAUGGAUCAACUACUAAAGAAUAGAGAAUGAUUGGCCAAAAAUAAAGAAAAGAGAAAAAUGGGUCAAAUACGAAAGAAAAGAGAAUGAUUCGCAAAAAGUAAGAAUAGAGAAAAAUGGGUCAAAUACUAAAGAAUGGAGAAUAAAGGGGUGCUAAAAUAUACAGAAAAUAAUAGGCCAAAAAUAAGAAUAGAGAAAAAUGGGUCAAAUACUAAAGAAUAGAGAAUGAUUGUCCAAAAAUAAAGAAUAGAGAAAAAUGGGUCAAUUACUAAAGAAUAUCUAGUAUAUUGGGGUGCUAAAAUAUACAGAAAAUAAAGGGCCUAAAAUAAAGGAUAGAGGAAAAUAGCAAAAAAAAAAAAAAAAAAAAAAAAAAAAAUUGAGGACCCCAUCCAGGCCCUCAUAUAAAAUCGUCCAAAAUGUGCCACCUGUUGCUCAUUAGUUCGAUAAAAGUGUGUUUUGCUGUAUGAAAAUAAGGAGAUGUGGUAUAAUUGCCAAUGUGUCAUCUAUCCACCAAAGUUCAAAUGAAGUGGAUGUAAGCAAUUAUAGGCAAC